AAUAUUGGACAAUGGGCGAAAGCCUGAUCCAGCAAUGCCGCGUGAGUGAUGAAGGCCUUAGGGUUGUAAAGCUCUUUCGGCGGGGACGAUGAUGACGGUACCCGCAGAAGAAGCCCCGGCUAACUUCGUGCCAGCAGCCGCGGUAAUACGAAGGGGGCUAGCGUUGUUCGGAAUUACUGGGCGUAAAGCGCACGUAGGCGGCUCGUUAAAUUAGAAGUGAAAGCCCUGGGCUCAACCCGGGAAUUGCUUUUAAGACUGGCGAGCUUGAAUCCAGAAGAGGGUAGCGGAAUUCCCAGUGUAGAGGUGAAAUUCGUAGAUAUUGGGAAGAACACCGGUGGCGAAGGCGGCUACCUGGUCUGGUAUUGACGCUGAUGUGCGAAAGCGUGGGGAGCAAAC
rnacentral:rRNA from 1 species